rnacentral:rRNA from 1 species
GACGUAGGAGGCGAGCGUUGUCCGGAAUUAUUGGGCGUAAAGCGCGCGCAGGCGGUCCUUUAAGUCUGAUGUGAAAGCCCACGGCUCAACCGUGGAGGGUCAUUGGAAACUGGGGGACUUGAGUGCAGAAGAGGAAAGCGGAAUUCCACGUGUAGCGGUGAAAUGCGUAGAGAUGUGGAGGAACACCAGUGGCGAAGGCGGCUUUCUGGUCUGUAACUGACGCUGGAGGCGCGAAAGCGUGGGGAGCAAACAGG